AAUUGGGUGUGUUCAGAUCCUUGUGGGGAUGGUUGGGAUGGGAUUAAGUGUUCUAGUUCUCGAGUGUUCUCCAUAACAAUAUUAAGCAGUGGUAUGAAAGGUCAGUUUUCAGGAAACAUACAAUUCCUCUCUGAGUUGCAGACACUCAGGAAGAGUCUUAUGGGGCAUAGUACUUGGUUCAUCCAAUAGGGCAGGCUUACAAAAAUGUUGUAGGUAGUCAUUUGGAGCCAGUGUUGAUGCUAAUGAAUACGACAAUGACAGUAUAAAGAUGCGAAGUCAUCCAGUAGGUCCUUUCGAAAGGCAAAGUCGUGAAGAACUAAAGAAGGUUAAACAUAUAGUUCAUCCUGUUGUACUCUUUCAAAAAUACUUAUUUUAAAUACUAACAUAACUUUUAUCUUUGGUGCAGUCCAUAAUGGAGCUCAUAGUUCUAGUUUCAAACCAAAUUACACAUCAGGUGAUUUGAUGGUUUGCAAACAGCAUUCUAUUCAUCCUUCACCAUAAAUAACCAUGACAAAAAUAUUAGCUAGUUAUUUGUGAAAAUGUUCCAAUUUGCAGCGUAGGUAAGAGCAACGAACCAAUACAAAAGUUUGGAGGAAAGAGGUUGCUGCCAAGGGGAGCUACAAUCCAAGUGGAUUGGGCAUAGACAACCACUUGGAUUGUAUGUUUAGAAUAAUUUCUCUGAAAUAUUAGUUUUAUUUGAUGAUUAUGUAAAUAUUAAGUCUUUGUAUGGAUUUCUUUCAUGUUAAUACUUUUGGAUGAUAUAAUUAUUAACUGUUGUUUGGUUA